AUUGAACGCUGGCGGCAUGCCUUACACAUGCGAGUCGAACGGCAGCACGGGUGCUUGCACCUGGUGGCGAGUGGCGAACGGGUGAGUAAUACAUCGGAACAUGUCCUGUAGUGGGGGAUAGCCCGGCGAAAGCCGGAUUAAUACCGCAUACGAUCUACGGAUGACAGCGGGGGACCUUCGGGCCUCGCGCUAUAGGGUUGGCCGAUGGCUGAUUAGCUAGUUGGUGGGGUAAAGGCCUACCAAGGCGACGAUCAGUAGCUGGUCUGAGAGGACGACCAGCCACACUGGGACUGAGACACGGCCCAGACUCCUACGGGAGGCAGCAGUGGGGAAUUUUGGACAAUGGGCGAAAGCCUGAUCCAGCAAUGCCGCGUGUGUGAAGAAGGCCUUCGGGUUGUAAAGCACUUUUGUCCGGAAAGAAAUCCUUGGCCCUAAUACGGUCGGGGGAUGACGGUACCGGAAGAAUAAGCACCGGCUAACUACGUG
rnacentral:rRNA from 1 species